UACGGAGGAUCCAAGCGUUAUCCGGAAUUACUGGGCGUAAAGAGUUGCGUAGGGGGCAUGGUAAGUUGGUAGUGAAAGCCUGGGGCUCAACCCCUUACACAUUAUCAAAACUGCCAAGCUAGAGGAUGAGAGAGGUUAUUGGAAUUCCUAAUGUAGGGGUAAAAUCCGUUGAUAUUAGGAGGAACACCGAUGGCGUAGGCAGAUAACUGGCUCAUUCCUGACACUAAGGCACGAAAGCGUGGGUAGCAAACAGG
rnacentral:rRNA from 1 species